rnacentral:rRNA from 1 species
GGAUAACCUACCCUUAGGACUGGGAUAACCCUGGGAAACUGGGGCUAAUACCGGAUAGGCAAUUUUUCCUGGAAUGGUUUUUUGUUUAAAUGUUUUUUCGCCUAAGGAUGGGUCUGCGGCCGAUUAGGUAGUUGGUUAGGUAAUGGCUUACCAAGCCGUUGAUCGGUACGGGUUGUGAGAGCAAGAGCCCGGAGAUGGAACCUGAGACAAGGUUCCAGGCCCUACGGGGUGCAGCAGGCGCGAAACCUCCGCAAUGUGAGAAAUCGCGACGGGGGGAUCCCAAGUGCCAUUCUUAACGGGAUGGCUUUUCAUUAGUGUAAAGAGCUUUUGGAAUAAGAGCUGGGCAAGACCGGUGCCAGCCGCCGCGGUAACACCGGCAGCUCUAGUGGUAACAAUUUUUAUUGGGCCUAAAGCGUCCGUAGCCGGUUUAAUAAGUCUCUGGUGAAAUCCUGUAGCUUAACUGUGGGAACUGCUGGAGAUACUAUUAGACUUGAGACCGGGAGAGGUUAGAGGUACUCCCAGGGUAGAGGUGAAAUUCUGUAAUCCUGGGAGGACCGCCUGUUGCGAAGGCGUCUAACUGGAACGGUUCUGACGGUGAGGGACGAAAGUUAGGGGCGCGAACCGGAUUAGAUACCCGGGUAGUCCUAACUGUAAACGAUGCGGACUUGGUGUUGGGGUGGCUUUGAGCUGCUCCAGUGCCGAAGGGAAGCUGUUAAGUCCGCCGCCUGG